rnacentral:rRNA from 1 species
AGUGAACGCUGGCGGUAGGCCUAACGCAUGCAAGUCGAACGGCAGCACAGUAAGAGCUUGCUCUUACGGGUGGCGAGUGGCGGACGGGUGAGGAAUACAUCGGAAUCUACUUUUUCGUGGGGGAUAACGUAGGGAAACUUACGCUAAUACCGCAUACGACCUACGGGUGAAAGCAGGGGAUCUUCGGACCUUGCGCGAUUGAAUGAGCCGAUGUCGGAUUAGCUAGUUGGCGGGGUAAAGGCCCACCAAGGCGACGAUCCGUAGCUGGUCUGAGAGGAUGAUCAGCCACACUGGAACUGAGACACGGUCCAGACUCCUACGGGAGGCAGCAGUGGGGAAUAUUGGACAAUGGGCGCAAGCCUGAUCCAGCCAUACCGCGUGGGUGAAGAAGGCCUUCGGGUUGUAAAGCCCUUUUGUUGGGAAAGAAAGGCAGCAGGUUAAUACCCCGCUGUUCUGACGGUACCCAAAGAAUAAGCACCGGCUAACUUCGUG